rnacentral:miRNA from 1 species
GUGCAUUAUGUGUGUAUGCAUGUGCAUGUGCACAUAUUAACACAUGCAAUACGUAAAAUAUUACAAAUACAACGAAGG